GCAGGGGAAGCCAGAAAGGGGUGGAAAGCUGCACAGCCAGAAUGCUCACACAACUGAUUCCAGCCUGACCUGAGAAGGGUUGGGAGUGGGGAAGAAUAGGUUCCCAUCAACACCCCCUCUCCCAGGUUUCUAAUGUAAGGGGAAGGAGUCAAAUGAAGUCCUUUGAGGGGAGAAGAUUGGGAAGAUCUGGGGGUGAAGAUAGGUGUCAAAAUAACAUGAUGAAGUAAUGACAAGGUGUGUGGUUCCACAUCAUCAGAAGGAAAUUCUGCAGGCACAUUUUAAGAAACCCACUCUGUGGACGAAGCUGAUGAAUGACACCAACAAUCUUAGUCACUGGAAAUAAUUUGGUUACUGCCACUGUGAACAAGGACACAGAAGGACCUUCAGCAACAGAGGGAAUAGAGGAAAGGUGUAAAGAAGGCCAUUGCCCCAACGAAGAAGAAGAGCAUCUCUCCUGGAGUGUUAUUUUAUCCCUACUCUGGAGUAAUACUGCAAACAUCUCUUGUUCUAGUAGAAUGCCAGAGCUCAUCUGAUGUCCAGAGAGUGAAGUCUUUUCUCCUCAUUAGAAGCAUGAAGUUUUGGGAAGCAUACAGGACAGGUUGAUUUAUGUGAAACACAGAAAUUACUUUAGGAAUUAAUUUCGGGUGAAGAAGUAUUAAAAAUAGUGUAUGGCGGGUCAGGUGCUCCCAGUUCACUCAUCCUUCUGGCUGAUGUGAUGGCAACUCAAAAUGCAAUCUUCAUGGAAAGAUUCCAAAGGCUGCCAGAAGAUGGACCAAAAAGAGUUACCGGCUGGACCUGCUGACUGGAGUCACCCACUUAGACAUCUACAGACACAGGAUUCCAACUCAGGCCAUGCAGCAACAAGAAGGAACUGGAG